CUUCUAAUUUUCCUUCCGCUUUGAAUGGAUUUGAAAAGAAAUAACAAAAUGAUUCAUUUUACUUCCAUUUCUCUCUAACUUGGGAACACAAAAGAAAAUUUUGUUUUCCUUUCCUUUCUCUUCUUUUUUCUAAUGACUUUCUUUUCUCUUCUCUUUUUUUUCUUUUGUUAAACUAGGGAACGAGACGUAAGAGUAUGGUCACACCCAAUCUACUCAAAAAGUGAUGUCACAUCAGCGUCACCUCACCUCUACUACAAACUCACUACCAACCCAUUUGCCAUUGGAAAUGGUUACCACUCCACAUCAUUUUUUUUUGACAAUAUUAGAUUAAAUUAAAAAAAAAGUAAUUCAAAUAAAACAAACAUUAAAAAAAUCCUAAAGUUACUUAUUUAUCCUAAAUUACUUUGAAAAAACACACAAUAUAACAACUAAAACAUAAAUAUGAGAACCUAAUCCUCAUACUUAGCACGGACACGUUGUUGGAUUUUGAGAAAUGUCGCGAGAUUUUCGGGGUCGAGAUCCGGUAGGGGCUUCGAGUUUAUGAUUUGAAGAUCGGUAAGAGCGAUUUUUUGGCGACGAGAUUCCUCCGUGGAUUCAUAUUUUCUUUCUAGAAAACUUAAAGUUUUAUCUAUGGAUUCGACAACCCGUCGUCGCUAGUUGCGGUUGCUUUCCCGCUUGAAGACGCCACCCGUUUUGCUUUGUCCCUUCUCGGUGGUCGACGGAGUUGGACUUCAGGUGGACCCUCUCCCUCGGCAACAUCGACGUCAUCAUUGAGGUCUAGCCCAAAACCCGCGUCCGAUUCAGAAGUUCUUGUUCUUUUGUUGGAGCCGGUGUCGAGUCUAAAUGUGAUGUCUCCGGAUUAAGGACCAAAUGGUUUACCGUUGUUGGUCACUUUGAAUUGGUAACACGCGGUUGAUAAAAUGUUGAAAUCGUUGGAACCACUUUUAUGCAUAUUUUUUAGAUUUUCAAAUAUGCCAUUAAACUUUGUGCAAAUCGCGCGAAGAUCACACCAUUUUCCGUUGACCGUGUCGUAGGACCGAUCCAUUUCCCUUCCAAGUAGCGCGUGAAAGUGGUCCAAAACACGAUUCCAAAAACUUUCUCUAGAUUGCGCGUUGCUUCUCCUCGAGUCACAAGAUAUGAUAAUCCAAGCUUUUGCUAAAGCUUCUUAUUCUUCGUUCCAAGCCGUUGUUUUCUUUUUCCUUUUUCCUUUUGGUUGCCUUCUUCGAGAUGGUUGUGGUGUUUCUUGGACCAUCUCAUCGUCGUUGUCAAGGUUGACGGUUUGGGAUUGAGUUAAUAGGGCUUGAGAUGAUUGUGUUUGGAGUUGUGGAGAAACUUGUUGUUGAAAGCCUUGGAAUUGGGGAAUGAAUUGAAGUUGAGUGAAUUGUUGUUGUGGUUGUUCUUGUUGGAAGAAUUGUGGGUUGUAUGGAAGGUUAGUGAAUAAAAGUUGUUGUUGGAUUGGAGAAUUCAACAAUUGCAUAUAUGCUUGAUAAUCACUUGGAGUGGGUGGAGUAUUUUGGUUUGGAUCCAUUUUUUGGAAGAAAAGUGAAAGAAAGUAGAAGUAUUUUUUUGAUUUGGAAGUGUAAAUGUGAAAGUGUAGGUGAAAGUGUAGUGUGUGUGUGUGUAUAUAUAUAUAUAUAUAUAUAUAUAUAUAUAUAUAUAUAUAUAUAUAUAUAUAUAUAUAUAUUCUUAAUAAAAGAUUCAUUUAAGCUAGACAUGUCCCCCUUAUAAACCCCUGUUUUGCCACGUGGCAAGUUCUCCACCAUUUUGCUCAAUUGUUUUCCCGCUCUUUUGCUCAUCUGCAUUGUAUACCUUUAAAAUCGACGAUAUAUCCCUUUAAAUCAGCACUUCCAUUUUGACUAUUUUAUCUUUUACCAAAAUAUCUGCAAUAAAAAUCAACUUUAUUUAUGUAAACAAAUCAAAAUGCAUUUAAUCCCUAAAAUUUGGUUGGUUUGUUUUCUGCCAAUGAUUUUGAAGCCUGAUCACCUUUACCAAGUUCUUUAAAAUCUAUCAAAUCCCUAAAAAUCAUCAAUAAUAUAUCGAAACUAAUGUAAUUUUCGUAACAAUUAUGGCAUUUUAAAUCUUCUCCAUUUAAAACAAUAUAUUGCGUCUCAUUCCUCUACAUAUAUUUAUAUGUAUUGCUUGAAAAGAGGUCUAUUUAUUUUCUGCCAUUGAAUUUGAUAUCAUUCUUUGCUACUCUGCUCUGCUCUGCUCUACUGGUUUCUUCAAGGUUAGUAAUAUGUUCUUUUUCUAUUAUUCUUGUGUUAUAAUAUUAUGAUAGUCAUGUAUUUUUGCACAAACUAAUUUGUCCCUCCCUUUGAUAAUCGACCUGCUUCAAAUAUGACAAUCGUGAUUUUCUGUAAAUCAUGUUUUUCUAUUAUUGUUGUUUUUCUAAUGUUUUGUGUAGGCCUUAACAAUACUCUUUGUAAGCUAUUUAAAACACAUUAUCAACUUGUGAAUUUUUUUAAAACUACGAUGUUAUGGUUUGUAUGUUUUUGUGAUAAAAUACUAAAAAAUAUAUUAUUACCUUCCUACAUAGAUACUUGUUGUGAUGACUAACCUUCAUUUCCUUGAUGUGCUUUUCUCCUACAAUCACAAGAACCGGUACCUAAACAAUACAAUUUAUACAAAUAAAAACUAAAGUAUAAUGACCAUUAUUGUAACUUUUUAUAAAAUAGUGACCAUUUAAAACUUAUUAAGAUAGUGACUAUUUUGUUACAAGACAAGGACCAUUUUUUUAUAUUAGUUAACAUGUAAAGAUUAGUUAUAACAAUUACAACACAUACAUGUUAUAACUUAUAAUGAUUAUAACACAUAACAUACAUUCAUUAAAUAGCCUAUUUUGGAGAAUAUAGCCAUAAUUGUUAAACUUGUACGAGUCACGAGUUGACUCGUACGAUUCGAGCCAUUUGAUACCCAAAACGGUUCAACUCGUAAGGUGACUUGUUUUUUGUCUAACUCGUAAAAAAAUUUCGGGUCAAGUACCGACUCAGACCGAGUCGAGUUGGCUCGUAAAUCGGACGAGUCAUGAAACAUAUGGCUUACUUUCGUUUAUCCAAUGGUUAAAGUUAUUAUCCGGUGGUUAAAACUAUUAUCCAGCUAUAUGAUGGGUUUUAUGGAGAUAGAAGUCAACGUGUAAAAAGGUAUUGUCCUUUUUUUCUUAAACUGAACUUCAUGUCUUCUCCAUCUUUUCUUAAACUGAACUUCUUGUCUCUUCUUUCUUUUUUCCUAUACUUCUUCAUUUCCUAAUUCUUCUUUAGUUCUUCUCUUUACCUGCGAUACUUCUUCUUGACAUUUCUUACGAUCUUCUUAACUUUUCCUGCAAUUCUCCUUCACUCCUUCAUCACUUCACAAUCCUUCAUCAGUUAACAGGUAAGGUUUUUUCCUCUUUUUCAAUUUUUUUGUAUAAGAUUAUGAUAUUGAAUGUGAAUAAAUUUGUUGAAUCAGUUUUUUUUAUCUCAAAGAUUCGAAUUUUCUAGGACAAAAAGAGUCCCCAGGGGUAUUUUCGGAUUAUAUUGUUUUUUAAACUUAUGUGAGUUAGUUCAGGAAGCUAACUCUUUCCCAUAAACUUUUUAUUAACUUGUUCUCAUUUUUUGUCUUCCCUGUUGUUGUCUAUGUUCUUUAUAUGUUCAAAUAUUAUAUGCGUUCUUGUUUUCUUUCUUCCCUGUUAUCUCUGUUCUUUCUCUGUUUAAAUAUUACCUGUGUGCAAUUUUAUUUUAUUUUGAUCAGGUUCUUUUUAGUAAUGUGAUUAUCUUUGAUCAGGUUCUUUCGUUUGUAGAGUUUAAUUAUGCCAAAAGGAAAGGCAAAACCAGACAUCACGUAGGGACAUUGUACUAAAGUAAACCCAAAAAAUAGAGUUAGAUUGCAAUGCAAUUAUUGCAAUAAACACAUACUUCAUAGGCCACUUCACGCCGCGGGAUAUUUUCUUAAUCCUAGUCUUCAUUUCGAGGAGAACUUUAAUGCUGAUAAAGAAGUCAAAUGUGGAUUGUAUGAUGUCAUUGAAAGGAUGUAUGAUAGGUCAACAAUGGUGACAAUUCAUGAACAACUUGUAAAGUUCAAUGAGAGCAUCGGGAUGUUUGGGAUAUCCACAGCCGUGUUAAUAAGGAAGAAAAUGCAACCUGCUAAAUGGUGGUCAAGUUAUGGAGAUGAGUGCCCAAAACUUCAACAUCUUGUUAUUCGUGUCUUGAGCCUUACAUGUAGUGCCACCGGAUGUGAGAGAAACUAGAGCACUUUUGACCAUAUACACUCCAAGAAGAGGAACCGUUUGGAACAUCAACCUUGAUACACGACUUCAAAAGAGAAAAUAAAGAGGGGAGACUUAUGAUCCAAUAUGUUUGUCGGACAUGGAGUCGGAUGAUGAAUGGAUUACUGAAAAGGAGGAUGUAUGUCUCCCUAAAGAUAUCUCAUGGAUGGAUGUUCAUGAAUGUUUUAAAUAGGAUGAGGGAACUAGUACUAAUAAAAGGAAGAGAUGUAAAUUAUAUAAAGGGAUGAUUACAUAUUAUAAUAUUAAUAAGUAUCAAGUUUAAUAAAUUCAAGGUUUAUUUGUAGGACCAAGGAACCUAAACAAAGUGACUAAUGUUAAAGACAAAGCUAAAAGCCAGCUUGUUGACUUAGAUGAUGAGGAUGAGGAUGAGGGAGAUGAUAUUGGUUUCCAUGAGACAACGGUGGUUGAAGAUGAAGAUGAUGAUGACCACUUUUAUCCCUGAGGUUUAGUUUUAUGAUUUAUACACACCAAGUCUUUUUGUCAUUUGCUUUGUUACUAAAUCACUAGUUAUUUUUUGAUACUUUAUGACAUGUAUUACCCUAACUAGUGAAUUUGUAACAUAUUAGUAAAUGUGCUUAAAUAUUCGG